UACGUAGGGUGCGAGCGUUGUCCGGAAUUAUUGGGCGUAAAGAGCUUGUAGGCGGUUUGUCGCGUCUGCCGUGAAAAUCCGGGGCUCAACCCCGGACUUGCGGUGGGUACGGGCAGACUAGAGUGUGGUAGGGGGAGACUGGAAUUCCUGGUGUAGCGGUGAAAUGCGCAGAUAUCAGGAGGAACACCGGUGGCGAAGGCGGAUCUCUGGGCCAUUACUGACGCUGAGGAGCGAAAGCGUGGGGAGCGAACAGG
rnacentral:rRNA from 1 species